rnacentral:rRNA from 1 species
GCGUGAUAAUUCGCCCUUUAAUUGUGGGCUUGUACGAAUGGGUUAACGAAGGUUAAGCUGUCUCCCUUUUAAGAAUAGAAAUUAAUUUCUAGGUGAAAAGGCCUGGAUAAAAUCACAGGACAAAAAGACCCCAUAGAGCUUUGUUUUAUUAGGAUUUAAUGAGGAAGUUUAUGGUAUUUUUUAUUUUAUUCUAUAAAACUUAACUGGGGCGGUUGAGGAAAAUUUUUAUCUUCCUUUAUUUUAUCGUUUGUUAGACUUGAUUUUUUGAUCCUAUUUUAGAUGUAAGAAAAGCUACCUUGGGGGUAACAGACUAAUUUUUUUUGAGAGUUCGUAUUGACAAAAAAGU